rnacentral:rRNA from 1 species
CCUACGUGGUGCUGCAGUGGGGAAUAUUGCGCAAUGGGCGAAAGCCUGACGCAGCGACGCCGCGUGAGGGAUGAAGGUCUUCGGAUCGUAAACCUCUGUCAGCAGGGAAGAACGGUCACUGUGCUAAUCAGCAGUGAAUUGACGGUACCUGCAAAGGAAGCACCGGCUAACUCCGUGCCAGCAGCCGCGGUAAUACGGAGGGUGCGAGCGUUAAUCGGAAUUACUGGGCGUAAAGCGCUCGUAGGCGGUAUGUCAAGUCAAGGGUGAAAUCCCCGCGCUCAACGUGGGAACUGCCUUUGAAACUGGCAAACUGGAGGGGGUGAGAGGAUAGGGGAAUUCCAGGUGUAGGAGUUAAAUCAGUAGAUAUCUGGAGGAACAUCAGGGGCGAAGGCGACUAUCUGGCACAUAACUGACGCUGAGGAGCGAAAGCGUGGGUAGCAAACAGGAUUAGAUACCCCAGUAGUC